AGCGAACGCUGGCGGCAGGCUUAACACAUGCAAGUCGAGCGGGCGUAGCAAUACGUCAGCGGCAGACGGGUGAGUAACGCGUGGGAACGUACCUUUUGGUUCGGAACAACACAGGGAAACUUGUGCUAAUACCGGAUAAGCCCUUACGGGGAAAGAUUUAUCGCCGAAAGAUCGGCCCGCGUCUGAUUAGCUAGUUGGUGAGGUAACGGCUCACCAAGGCGACGAUCAGUAGCUGGUCUGAGAGGAUGGUCAGCCACAUUGGGACUGAGACACGGCCCAAACUCCUACGGGAGGCAGCAGUGGGGAAUAUUGGACAAUGGGGGCAACCCUGAUCCAGCCAUGCCGCGUGAGUGAUGAAGGCCCUAGGGUUGUAAAGCUCUUUCGUGCGGGAAGAUAAUGACGGUACCGCAAGAAUAAGCCCCGGCUAACUUCGUG
rnacentral:rRNA from 1 species